UACGGAGGGUGCGAGCGUUAUUCGGAAUUACUGGGCGUAAAGCGCGUGCAGGCGGGGGUAUAAGUCUGAUGUGAAAGCCCUGGGCUUAACCUGGGAAGAGCAUUGGAAACUGUAUCUCUUGAGUACUGGAGAGGAAGGGGGAAUUCCCGGUGUAGAGGUGAAAUUCGUAGAGAUCGGGAGGAAUACCAGUGGCGAAGGCGCCCUUCUGGACGGUAACUGACGCUGAGACGCGAAAGCGCGCAACUGGGCCAUU
rnacentral:rRNA from 1 species